CCACACAUGAGGACAGGAGGAGGCCCCAGCUCCACCCAGGUGCUGCACAGUGGGUCCCAGAUGAUCCUCUAUGGGCCCCCAUCAGAAUCACCAGCAGGUCUUGUUAAAACACUAGCCCCUGUGCCUCUUCAUGGACUGACUUCAUCAGCUUCCUGUGCCGGUUUGGAGCUCAGGAAAUGCUGCUUUAGAAUGCUGAUCAAGUGGAGAAGCCACACCUGA
rnacentral:lncRNA from 1 species